rnacentral:rRNA from 1 species
UACGGGGGGAGCAAGCGUUGUUCGGAUUUACUGGGCGUAAAGGGCGCGUAGGCGGUCAGCACAAGUCAGUUGUGAAAUCUCCGGGCUUAACUUGGAAACUGCCAUUGAUACUAUCAAUCUUGAAUACCGUGGAGGUCAGCGGAAUAUGUCAUGUAGCGGUGAAAUGCUUAGAUAUGACAUAGAACACCAAUUGCGAAGGCAGCUGGCUACACGAAUAUUGACACUGAUGCACGAAAGCGUGGGGAUCAAACAGG